rnacentral:rRNA from 1 species
CAAUAGCGUAUAUUAAAGUUGUUGCGGUUAAAAAGCUCGUAGUUGGAUUUCUGUCGAAGACUGCCGGUCCGCUCUAUGAGCGUGUAUCUGGUUAGGCUUUGGCAUCCUCUUGAAGAACGUUACUGUGCUUAAUUGCAUGGUGCGGAAUUCAAGACUUUUACUUUGAGGAAAUUAGAGUGUUCACGGCAGGCAAACGCCCUGAAUAUGUUAGCAUGGAAUAAUAAUAUAGGACUUUGGUUUUAUUUUGUUUGGUUUCUUAGAACUAAAGUAAAUAGAUAAAUAGGGACGAGUUGGGGGUAGUUUGUUAUUAAUGCGUCAGAGGUGGAAGUUCUUGGAUUGCAUUACGACAAACUAACUGCGAAGACAUUUACCUAAGGAUGUUUUCUAUUGAUCAAGAACGAAAGUAUGGGGAUCGAAGAUGAUUAGAUACCGU